UCCGCAGGCGGUCAAUUAAGUCAGAGGUGAAAUACCAUAGCUCAACUAUGGAACUGCCUUUGAUACUGGUUGACUUGCGUCAUAUGGAAGUAGAUAGAAUGUGUAGUGUAGCGGUGAAAUGCAUAGAUAUUACACAGAAUACCGAUUGCGAAGGCAGUCUACUACGUAUGUACUGACGCUGAGGGACGAAAGCGUGGGGAGCGAACAGGAUUAGAUACCCUGGUAGUCC
rnacentral:rRNA from 1 species